AGGAGCUUAAGGGGGGAAAACAGAAGGGAAGAAAGAAGGAAACGGAGAGCAGAGGGAGAGGGUGACGGAACAGAGAAAAAGAGGGAGAAGUGGAUCGUCAUCGGGGAGGGAGGAGACUGCCGCCGUCGUGAGCCAUCACUGCGCGCUGCCGUCGAGUACACGGACCAGAGGGAGACGCGAGCAGUGACUGAGAGGAAGCUCCGUCCUUGUCGCCGUUCCAUAGUCGCUGUUGAAGCCAACCUCGUUGUCGUCGAAUCGUCGCUGCUGUGCCGCCAUCAAGUCUGAGUUGAGGAAAGGAGACGUGGAGUCGGCGUCGCCCAGAGAGAAACGCGAAUGACGAGGCGAAGCAGAACGCAUGGUGGGAAGGCUUUCCUUGCCACUGCCGCCGCCGGAAUCAUGAACCAAGGUGGAGGAGAAGGCCGUCUUCCCCGUUGCUGCUAUAAUCGUCCGUGCUGCUGCCGGUGCUUCCUUGUUCUGUUAUUCCUUUCUAAUUCUUAAUUAUUACUCUACCCAAUAUGAAUUCAUUGUUUUGCUCACUGUCGUGGCCAACUCGCGUUGCUGCUGCCCUGUCAAAGCUGUUGUGAGUGUUGCUAACAUUGGCGGAUAAGGGAUGAAGGAGCUGCUGCAUUUUGGGUGCAGCCCAACCAGUCAUCACGCCACAAUUCCGUCUUCGGUUUCGGUUUCUAUGAAAUUCGACAUUGAGAAAGGGAAAGAAAGGGCACAGGGAGCUUAAGGGGGGAAAACAGAAGGGAAGAAAGAAGGAAACGGAGAGCAGAGGGAGAAGGCGACGGAACAGAGAAGAAGAGGGACAAGUGGAUUGUCAUCGGGGAGGGAGGAGACUGCCGCUGUCGUGAGCCAUCACUGCGCACUGCCGUCGAGUACACGGACCAAAGGGAGGCGCGAGCAGUGACUGAGAGGAAGCUCCGUCCUCGUCGCCGUUCCAUAGUCGCUGUUGAAGCCAACCUCGUUGUCGUCGAAUCGUUGCUGCUGUGCCGCCAUCAAGUCUGAGUUGAGGAAAGGAGACGUGGAGUCGGUGUCGCCCAGAGAGAAACGCGAAUGGCGAGGCGAAGCAGAACGCAUGGUGGGAAGGCUUUCCUUGCCACUGCCGCCGCCGGAAUCAUGAACCAAGGUGGAGGAGAAGGCCGUCUUCCCCGUUGCUGCUAUAAUCGUCCGUGCUGCUGCCGGUGCUUCCUUGCUCUGUUAUUCCUUUCUAAUUCUUCCCAUAUUCCACCUCUGAAUUUCCAGAAUUAUUACUCUACCCAAUAUGAAUUCAUUGUUUUGCUCACUGUCGUGGCCAACUCGCGUUGCUGCUGCCCUGUCAAAGCUGUUGUGAGUGUUGCUAACAUUGGCGGAUAAGGGAUGAAGGAGCUGCUGCAUUUUGGGUGCAGCCCAACCAGUCAUCACGCCACAAUUCCGUCUUCGGUUUCGGUUUCUAUGAAAUUCGACAUUGAGGUUUGAAGACGCAAUUUGAAGCUGCGAGCGAUCAGUAGGCUUUCUUUAUGGUUUUAAUUGCU